ACGAACGCUGGCGGCCUGCCUAACACAUGCAAGUCGAACGAGACCUUCGGGUCUAGUGGCGCACGGGUGCGUAACGCGUGGGAACCUGCCCUUAGGUUCGGAAUAACUCCCCGAAAGGGGUGCUAAUACCGGAUAAUGUCUUCGGACCAAAGAUUUAUCGCCUUUGGAUGGGCCCGCGUUGGAUUAGCUAGUUGGUAGGGUAAAAGCCUACCAAGGCGACGAUCCAUAGCUGGUCUGAGAGGAUGAUCAGCCACACUGGGACUGAGACACGGCCCAGACUCCUACGGAAGGCAGCAGUGGGGAAUAUUGGACAAUGGGCGAAAGCCUGAUCCAGCAAGGCCGCGUGAGUGAUGAAGGCCUUAGGGUUGUAAAGCUCUUUUACCCGGGAUGAUAAUGACAGUACCGGGAGAAUAAGCUCCGGCUAACUCCGU
rnacentral:rRNA from 1 species